UUCCGCCUCUUCAAAAAAUUCCGCAAAAUAGAACCAUACUGAGAAGACUUGCAUGACACUUUUGCAAAGAUGACACGAUCAAAUGACAUAAUUCAAAUUUUU